GGCCACUUGGAAGGAGCUGUACUUGGUGGCGCACUUCGCCGAGGUCAGCACCAGGUUCUCCUUGAGAAUGACGGCGCUACAGAAACCUUCAGAGUCUGCGCUCUUGAGAAGGCCCUGCAAACCGCGUCAAAACAGCCCACAGAGCUGUACUUGGUGGCGCACUGCACCGGGGUCAGCACCAGGCUCUCUUUCGAAUGACAGCGCUACAGAAACCUUCAGAGUUGGAGCUCUUGAGAAGCGUCGAAACGGCCCACGGGGACUUGCCAGAAUCUGCCACUUACAGUCGUGUCUAUUUGAAGUGAAUUGCUUCACUUGCUUCACAACUGUCAAAGAUGGCGGCCAGCGACAGAGUGGGACUAAUGAAGCCAAGCUUGGGUACAAGAGCCCUAUCUGCACAAAAUCCACCAUGAGAUUUGGAGCGUGUGGCUACCUGCCA